rnacentral:rRNA from 1 species
UGCGCGAGUCACAGGUUACUCGCAAAGCUUUACGAAACCCUAAGGCGCAAUGAAAGUGAAGGUCAGGCUUCGCACUGACCGAGGCAGGAUCCGUCCGGGUGAGCGAAGCUCUUCUUCCUUUUGCGGGUGCAAACCCGCGGGGGAGCUCGGCGGCGCACUGCCGGCCCAUCUCAGCCGCUUCUCGUCGGCGAGGUGGAGCCAGAGCGCACACGUUGGGACCCGAAAGAUGGUGAACUAUGCUCGGGCAGGACGAAGCCAGAGGAAACUCUGGUGGAGGUCCGUAGCGAUUCUGACGUGCAAAUCGAUCGUCGGACCCGAGUAUAGGGGCGAAAGACUAAUCGAACCGUCUAGUAGCU